CACGUAGGGUGCGAGCGUUGUCCGGAAUUAUUGGGCGUAAAGAGCUCGUAGGCGGUGUGUCGCGUCGGCCGUGAAAACCUGCAGCUUAACUGUGGGCUUGCGGUCGAUACGGGCAUCACUGGAGUUCGGCAGGGGAGACUGGAAUUCCUGGUAUAGCGGUGAAAUGCGCAGAUAUCAGGAGGAACACCGGUGGCGAAGGCGGGUCUCUGGGCCGAUACUGACGCUGAGGAGCGAAAGCGUGGGGAGCAAACAGG
rnacentral:rRNA from 1 species